GACGUAGGAGGCAAGCGUUGUUCGGAAUUACUGGGCGUAAAGCGUCCGUAGGCGGAUCUGUAAGUGGAUAGUUAAAUCCCGGGGCUCAACCCCGUGGGUGCUACCCAGACUGCAGGUCUGGAGGUCGGCAGAGGGUGAUGGAAUUCCCGGUGUAGCGGUGAAAUGCGUAGAUAGUCGGGAGGAACACCAGUGGCGUAAGCGAUCACCUGGGCUAGACCUGACGCUGAGGGACGAAGGCGUGGGGAGCAAACGGGG
rnacentral:rRNA from 1 species